UCUAGGAGGGCAUAUUUGGGAGGGAAUUAUGUCACCUCUAGGUACAGUAGGUGUUUGUCCCCCUGUGUGCUGAGUUUAUCGGGUUCUUGUCCAGUUCUGGAAUUUAGGUCGCCACAGACUAGUACAUGUCCCUGAGUCUGGAAAUGGUUGAUCUCCCCCUCUAGGAUGGAGAAACUGUCAUCGUUAAUGUUUGGGGAUUCUAUUGGGGGGAUAUAGGUAGCACACAUGAGGACAUUUUCUCUUUUGAGAUAAUUUUCUUUUUAAUUUCUCACCAUAUGUAAAAUGUUCCUGUUUAAACUAAUUUAAUAGAGUGGGUUAGGUCUGAUACCCCCUGAGUCCCUUCCCAGUUUCACUGGUAGUUUGGUGGGUGGGACUACCAGCUCUCUGUAACCUAGAAGGCAACCAAUAGGUCCGUCUCUUCUAUACCAUGCUUUUUGUAGGAUGAUAAUGUCUGUAUUUCCAAUUUGAUUCAAUCUGGGUUCCUGCUCUCUCUUUCUCUCUCUCAGAAGACAAGGUGUGGACUACAGUGGUCAAUAAUCUACCAGCCCAGACCUCAGUGACCGGGUCUAGUAGAGAGAGACGCACUGUGCUGCAACUCAACUACAGUGCCUCUAUGGAACAGGUCACAGCUAUUACUACCAGUGCUGAACACUGUCAACAACAAGUGUCGUACGCCUGCCGCAUGUCCCGACUGCUCAACACACCCGAGGGAACCCCCUACACAUGGUGGGUGGGUAGGAGCAGUGAGAAACAUUUCUACUGGGGAGGAUCAGGGCCGGGGAUACAGAAGUGUUCCUGUGGUAUCGACAGGAACUGUACUGACCCCAAAUACGACUGUAACUGUGACGCUGACCACAAACAAU